UAUAUUCUAAGUAAAUAAAUGGACUUAAGAGAUGGAAUGUAGUCACAAGCUGUUUUCAACACUUUUCAUUGGUUAAAUAUUUGUUAAACAGUCAGGCCAACGUGAAAACUAACCAAUAGAAUCGUUUUAUGACAA